rnacentral:rRNA from 1 species
AACUGAUUACGAGGACAGUGGCGGACGGGUGAGUAACGCGUGAGCAACCUGCCUUGGAGUGGGGGACAACAGAGGGAAACUUCUGCUAAUACCGCAUGACGCAUAGAGGUCGCAUGAUCUUUAUGCCAAAGAUUUAUCGCUUCAAGAUGGCCUCGCGUCUGAUUAGCUAGUUGGCGGGGUAACGGCCCACCAAGGCGACGAUCAGUAGCCGGACUGAGAGGUUGAACGGCCACAUUGGGACUGAGAUACGGCCCAGACUCC